UAUACUUUCUAAAUAAUCAGGCGUGUCCCUGCCCCUGUCUCCAACAAGUGUGUGAUCCACCGAUUCACUGAGUGACUCUUUCUUACCGCUGGAGUCCCUAUCUCUUAAAGCCUUAUCAUAUCAGACUUCCGAUCCAUCCCUUGUUUGCCGAUUGAAUAAAGCCUUCUAUUAUUAUUAUAUUUAUAUGGUCUCAAACAAGCGAGAAAAGCCCUUUCUUUCUAUGUUAUUAGUAAAACCUAAACGCCCUGCAAUCAAACUAAAGCGCUAACGAGCAACGGCUUUCGCGCAGCUCAAUCCGUUGCUUCUUGCUUUCGAGCCGGAGCUUGCUGGGUGGUGAAGUAGUCCGUGAAGGUUAAAUCACACUUGUGUUAAGCAAGCAGAGUAGUCAAGCCAGAAAGGCAAAAAAAGCAAGAAGCUAUUUUCGUUCGAUCGACAGAAUCCAUCGUACUUUCACUGCUGUGUACCGGCUUUCAUAAAGCACAUUUAGGCAGCAGCUACUAUUGGGAUCCAAUUCCGAGAUCAAUUCGACAAUGAAACUCUUCAAGCAAUGAUCUUAUCUAUGUCAUUU
rnacentral:lncRNA from 1 species